UAGGUUCGAAAUAGGAAGCGAUAAAGUCGAGUUGUAACCGGGCAGCGAGAUUGACUAGCGAAACCGAGAGCGAUACACGACGCGAUCAAAAGAAAACGCUUGUUAAUAAAUACAUUGUUGAUCUAAACACCGAGUGAUUAUUUAACGCACUACACCCAAUAGCACCUCAAACUCUUUCGUCGUUAAAUUAAAUCGUUAAACAUGAGCAAGUGCUACAGUACUUUCGAACUAUAGAGAUUAGGAUGUGAAAGAACAACGUAAAGUUUCAGCCAAAGUUUCGGCUGGAAGUGACCCCAGUGUCCUGGAAAUUGCCGUGUAAUUUGUCUAUAUCGUGUGAGGGAGGAAAUAAAAUAGAAAAAUAGAAAAGGAGGAAAUGCGAGCAAAUGAAGAUAUAAGAUGGAUCCAGUGAAGCAUCCAAAUUUUGUUUCGUGUUAAACCUAAAUGUCGAGUUCCGUUCGAAUUGAUUCAAUGCCAAAGUUAUUCAGCUGAGAAAAACAGAUAAACGAUAACCAAGUCGUUAUGGAAAUAGUUAGGAGUAGGAACAAAAAAUAUUGCAGGAAACUAACGGGUACGGAGGAGCGUGACAAUAUGAACGCGACACGCAAGUAACAACGCAGUCGUUAUUUUUCAUAAUUAUCCGGCAAAACGAAUCUGUGGAAAACAAAAGUUGUGGAGCGUUAACGAGGAGGAUUUUCAGUCGAUCCAAUGGAUAAUGACAUUAGCUCUCUAUACUGUCGCAUUAUUUUAAUGGCAAAUUCUUUAUUUCGUUUCUCUUUCGCCGGUGUAUUCAAGAGCUUUUUAAGAUUUAACGAGGACGUGGUCGCCUUUCAAUUUUACCGGUGCGAAAACAGCAACUGAAAAGAUACAAAAUAUCGUCCCUGACCAUAAUUCCCUCUUGUCUGUUGAGUCGUCGUCGCCAAAUUUUCCUACCGCUAAAAACCACUCAACAGAGUGCGCAGGAUCCAAGUGGCGAAUAUUUUUGCAAUUAUUUUGCUGACUUUGCAAGCACAGUGGCUCUUUAUUUUUAUUCUCAGUCCAAGUAGACGUGUCUGGUCAAAUCUGGUUCUGUUUUGGUUUUCAGAAGAAUGGCUUGAAAUAUAAAAUGUUAUACUCUCGGUUUUAAUUCAUGGAGACAGGACUUUCUCAUUUAAUAGAUUUUUGUGCUGUUUAUCUGGCAUUUUGCGCUAGCGGCUACAUUUUAGGCGAAAAUUUCAGAUACGCCCUUUUUACCGAACACGGCAGAGUUAUUUUUUAAGAAUUAUUAAGGUUCGGGUCUGAGUGAAAAUCGUGGGAACAACGAGUUUCGCAGAUGUAAAUAACAUGGUAUGCUUGACAUUCUAAUUUUUUCGGUGGGGCGUGAGCUUCUCUGGCUGGAAAUACGCGUUUCCGCUCUUUUCCCUUCCCACCAUUGAUUUUCUACGGCACUGCGGAGACCGCAUCUCUUUUAUCUAUAGCUCAGAGACAACAUUCCUUCUUAAUUUGUUCCGAAUCACAGGAUUCACGAACAUCCGACGUUUAUACUGCGCUAUUCAGACACGGUUGUUAGCUUUUUUCAGUGUUUAUCGAGGUUUUACAUGGGUAGUCCAUUUAAUUAAAGGAAAUUAGUUUCCAGUAAUUUUUUAGUUCGUUUAUUUUAUUAUCUUCUCUAUUUCUUUCUACUUUUUUUUUUUAUUUCAGGGAAUGAAUGAUACUAUUUUAUUCCGUACCAAGUAUAUUUUGAAUUAAUUUUUAAAAAAAAAAAAAAGAAAAAAGGAAGUAAAAUAAAAAAAACAACAGGCUAGAGCUUGUAAUUAAAUUCCAGGAAAAACGCGAAACAAAAUCAAAGUGCAGAUCCAAGAGAAAAAGUCAGAAAAGAAAAAAAAAUCUCCUCGUAUACAAAGUGUUACAUUGAAAUGGAUAUUUUUAAACAUCAAAAGCGUGAAACUGGAGACGCCGUUUCAACCAUGUUAAGACAAAUUAAAUCCAAAAAAAAGCGAAGGAAAGGGAGAAGCAGAAAGAGAAUUGGUUUCUCUUCCUAAAGGGUUUAAGAAAACUGUAAUUAUACAGAAAAAAGGAACAUCUUCCCCAUUUCAAUGGGCCUGAGAUACGCUGACAAGGGCGACACUGUGAACUACUUUUUCCUACACACGCAGCCACAGCUCGGUCCUCGUUUCAUGUCCCCGAGACAUUUCCAAAAAACUUCAAUUAAAUUUGAAUUCCAUUACGCUUCAUUCUGGCGUAUAGAUAGUCGUUCAGCUUUUGUAUAGUUCAACCUAAGCUUAACUUAUCGAUGCUAAUCAUCUUCAAUAUAAAUAAAAAAAAAAGAUAAAUCAAUGGGUUGUAGAUUAUUAAAUUUUAAUUUAGUUAAAUGUUAGUUAAAUGCUAGAUUAAUAUAUUGCACAACAUUGGCACGACUUGGUAUUUAUUUCAUUCGCUUUUGUAAGUGUGCCGUAAAUUCGACUACUAUCAUUUAUUAUUAUACUCUUCUGCCUAUAGCUGAAAACGUUACGCGUUAAGGACAUUUAUAGACACCUGCUGACUCUAAUUUAUUAACACGUCACGAACAGACAGCGAGUUGAGUUUACAUUGGAUUAUGUAAGAAUGCAGCCGCCUACUCGACGAUCCGACGUAAUCGUGACGUAAAUUGUAUCGAAGGUUUCCGUUGAUAUAGUUUUUCCUCGAAACAAGCAACUGGUUUCUCACUGGAAACAGACAACUCACUAUCUUGCCAUUUGAAGUUGUUUUUUAUUUGAUUUACCGACCGAGUAAGAGAUCGCAGAAUGAGUAAGCGAUUCGUGAAAGCGAGGAGCCAUCAAUUUUUAUGAUCCAACGAACAGUGACUCAUUUCAGUAGAAGACCAAUGGAAUACGUACAAUGCUUCCUGACUCUGAUUUAGCAACCCUCGCGUGUUACGUGCUGCUCAACCGAUCGCUUUAUACGAUCCGCCGCUAUCUCGAGUUCCUCGUUCUCCGUAUUCUCGCUUGUCCCGUUCGAGAACAAAGUGAAGCCGAAUAGCAUGCCAGACUCGUAAUGAGCAUCUCGUCGAUCCUGAGCGUGCUUAUUUCCAGGCAAAAUCGUAUGUCGGAAACUAAGGUCGCAAGCGACGGUAACAUGUACAGCAGGACAAGUGCAAGUUCGAACGGUUCGAUAUUCGAACAAUUCCAAUUCGAACGAACGUGUCAGGGGAAAUCCAGCUUCUGAGCUCGAAGGAAAACUGGAAGUUGGAGCAAAGAGACGGACAGUUGCUUGUCGUUGUGUAAGCGACACGUUGUCGCCUGAUUUCUCUACUCAGGCCCGGAUCGGAACAGCGAAAUGCAAGUUGAGAAGAAGAAAGAGAAACAAAGGGACGUUAGUCGUUUCGACGCUCGUUCUUGCAGUCGUCGGUGUAGUUCUUCUAUGAUUGUCUCAGCGAAUGUUGUAAAUUUGUUUUCUUACCAUUUAUUAAUACGAACUUUAGAGACAGGUACUUGCAAUGUCUCAUAUUGAGAAAAUGUCGAAUGGGAGGAAUCGAUUCAACUUACGCCAUUUCAAUUUAAUUCGAUGUUCGACCAACUCGAAGCUCGAACCGUCCAGCGCCUCCUGGAACGGAUAGUGUUCGAUGUUCGAGGAUUUACUGUAUUUAGAGGAAAGUUGUUCGGAAUGUUGAUCUUAGCAUGAAAUUCGCAUUUGAAGAUUUUAUAUUAUUUCAUUGUUAAUAAAUAUUUUCCAACCGAGUAACCAGUUGCAAGCUAAUCAAUUUUAUCCGAUGGCUAGAAACUGAAGUUUAUAUUUCAUCAGACAUCAUGAUCUCUACCUAU